UUUGACGCUUUGAUCAAGGAAGAUUUAAAAAAAUAGGCAAUUAUUGUCAUUAGGUGAGUGAUUUAAUGAACAAUGUUUUAAUGAUGGUGACAAAAAACUGGAAACAUUCAUUGCUGAUGACAGACAGGUUACCUUUCGAAUUAAUCAGGCUUCAAGUCAGAUAAGAGUAAGACAGACUAACUAAUUAGAAAUUUAUAAUAUUGAAAAAGAUUUCAUUUUCAAAUUUCAAUAAACAUGAGGUUAUAAGAUGAAAAAGAAGAAGAAAGGAAUUCAUCAGGAACAUUCUGGUUUGGAAUUGCAGUAAGAUGGAUUGAUACAGUUGAAAUAAAUUCAGAACUCGACAACCAAACCUGCAAACACACAAAAUAAACAAUCACGCCAAGUACACAUAUAUUCAACAAAAACCUAAUUUUUAAUCAAAAACGGUAUUAAAUUAUGAAUUCGAACUUGAAAGAAUAAGAAGAAUAGAAAAAAAAUAAUAUCAUGUCAGCAUUAAACAAGCAAUUGUCAAAAAAAACAUGGCAAUUAAAAUGCAGCAACUUUAAUCACAAAUGAAAAAAACUUAUAAGUUUCAAUGACAUUCAUUAAUGGGAGGAACAGAGAAUAAAGUCAAUGAAGAAUCCAUGGAAUUUUAAAAUCUGGUAUUAGUCAGGAAAAACAAACAAUAACAAGGAAGUUAGGAAGGGAAUCCAGAAAUAAAUUUUAUAUAAGAAAGAACUAGGAAUGAAAAAAACACAGCACAUGCAUUAUUUUUAGAGGAGGGGGGUUGGAUUGGGUAUGGAAAAACCCUUUGGACCCAUACUUGAAAUUUUAUUCUUGAAUUAGAUGAUGAACAAUGAAUGAUAUGGUUUACAAUGAGCCAUGAUAUUUUUGUAUCUUUUAAGUUCAAUGAUUGAAUUUUAUUCCAAAUUAAAGAUUUAAAGUGAUACAAGUUAAUAAGUUAUCAAUAACCCUAACUCUAGACUACACAAUGUGUUUCUUUUAGUUAUCAAUAGAUUAGGGAAUUAGAGUUAUUAAAUGCUCAAUCAAAUCUACAUUUCCUAAUAGUACUUAUGAUCAGCAUAGUAAUUCAAAUAAAUAAUCAUUAAUAACAAUAACCAAAUUAAUCAAGAAAGAAAGAAUAAAAAAUUUCAUUACCAUUCUGGUUUCGUUUUGUCCUUCAAAUUUCUUG
rnacentral:lncRNA from 1 species